rnacentral:rRNA from 1 species
AUGGCUGCUGCUGUGAGCUUUUCCCGCCGAAUACACAUACUCAUGCUUCUGUACUACUAUUCCAUAUGGUCUCUGCACCCGCCUCGUGCUACCUCGCAUUCUUUCAGCUUCAACUUCUCCCAGCCCGGUGGCUAUGACGCCCAAGAUUUCAGUUUCGAGGGCGAUGCAUACUACGACUCCCAGUCUCGGAGGAUCGAGCUGACAAAAGGCGGCGGGAGUCCAAACAUCCAAAACAGCGUGGGCCGAGCAUUGCACGCGCAGCCGGUACCGCUGUGGGAUGUCGACACUGGUGAGCUCACCCGGUUCACCACCUCCUUCACUUUCCGAAUCAAGGUAAAUGGUCCUGUCAGUGGCGAUGGCUUGGCUUUCUUCCUCGGGCAUUAUCCUCCGACAAGCAUUCCUGAUCCCCUCGACAACGGCAAGAACCUUGGACUCUUUAACCGAAACGUCAGCACGGUCGCGACUGGCGAUGAACGAGCGGUGGCGGUUGAGUUUGACACUUUCUUGAACCCCGGCAUCGACACCAGCGGCAGCCACAUGGGCAUCGACGUUAACUCCAUCAUCUCGCGGGCGUACACCAACGUGACAGUGCAUGGCAAGAACUUAACAGCCGGCCUGCCUAUGACUUGCCAUAUCAGCUACGGAAACGACACAAAAAUACUAGCCGCCGUUCUCCAGAUCGGCGACGUCACCUACCAUGUGAAUACAAGUGUUGACCUGCGUCAGCUCUUGCCCAAUGUUGUGUCCAUCGGCUUCUCGGGUGCUACUGGCGUGGCGGUCGAGCUACACCAAAUAAUGUCCUGGUCAUUCAACUCUACCUUGGAUCCGUCGCCUGCACGGAAGAUUUUGUGGAAACAAAUAGCAGUGGUAACUGGGCCAAUUAUUGGAGUUAUUGCAAUCGUGUGCUCCUUUGUUGGAGUCCGUCGAUGGCAGCUGUGCACAAGAAAGAAGCCAUACAAAGCUCUCGCGAAUGGCCGUAAACAUAUUGGGUAUCAUAAGCUGGCACGUGCGACCAAAAAAUUCGCAGAAGAAAACAAGCUUGGUCAAGGAGGUUCUGCCUUUGUUUAUCGGGGCCUUUUGAAAGGUAGCCAGGUGGCUAUAAAGAGAUUCAAGCUGGUUCCAUCGGGCGAGGGGAGGAAGGCGUUCGAGGAUGAACUCAUGAUCGCUAGUCGCCUACGGCAUAAGAAUCUUGUCAAGUUGAUAGGCUGGUGCUACGAUGGCCAGAGGAACCUGGUUGAGUUCAUCUGCUGGUGGUGGGACGAAAGGUACACACGUCUCUUCCUUGUGUAUGAGCUUUUGCAAGAAGGUAGCCUUGAUCGACACCUACACGGGGGCAACAGUUUGUUACCGUGGUCCAAGAGGCACGAGAUUAUCCUCAACCUAGGUUCUGCACUACAAUACCUCCAUGUAGAUUGCGAGCAAGAUCAACAGUGUAUCGUACAUGGUGAUAUCAAAUCGAGUAACAUAUUACUUGGCUCUUCGUUUGUUGCCAAGUUAGGUGACUUCGGAUUGGCAAGAUUCGUUCACCACGAAACCGGGUCACAGACCACAAAUGUUGUACAGGGCACUUUUGGAUACAUAGAUCCUGUGUUCAUUGACACGAGCAAACGGAAUAGGGAGUCAGACAUCUACAGUUUCGGCAUCGUCCUACUAGAGAUGGUCUCUGGAAGGAACCCAACAGAUCAGGAUAUGCCUCCAUUGUCCACAUGGGUAUGGAGUAAGUACAACGGGAAUGUGAUCCUGGAGGCCGUAGACGAAAGGCUGAUGAACGGCCAGUCUACUAAUGGCCUUCAGCAGAUGAAGCAUGCACUACUCAUCGGACUCUUGUGCGCGCACCAGGACCCGAGCAACCGACCGUCCAUCACCGACGCCAUGAAUGCCCUUGGAUCGGAUUCCGAGGAGCUGACACUGGACAUCACUCCCCUAGAGGCGGUGACACACUAA